GUUUCCGUUGUACGAGUUGUAGCUUGGAUGGCUGAUGAUGUGCACGAUGGUUCGAUUCACCUCAUGAGAACUGGAACUCUGUUUCAUCUGACGACCGAGGUACACCACCAGACCCUCGGUACCGGAACUGUUUCAACGAGUAGUUCAGAGCCAGUGGAGGUCAGAGUUCUUCAAGAGGAGUUCUGGUCAUGACCACUCACCCCAGCGUUCUGGACUUGACCUGCUGUGACCUCUGACCUGAACCUGGAGGCUCAGCAGCAGACACAGAAAAACAGCGAUGGAUCUGCAGGGAGUCAUCGUUCAAAGGCCACGUGUGUGUGUGUGUGUCUGUGUGUGUGUGUGUCCAGAGGUUCAUCCGAGCCUUAAAUCUACUCUCAAUCUCAC